UGUAAACAUCUCAACUGGAAGCU
rnacentral:miRNA from 1 species